AUUGAACGCUGGCGGCAGGCCUAACACAUGCAAGUCGAACGAGUGGCAGACGGGUGAGUAAUGUCUGGGAAACUGCCUGCUGGAGGGGGAUAACUACUGGAAACGGUAGCUAAUACCGCAUACCAUCAGAUGUGCCCAGAGGGGAUUAGCUAGUUGGUGGGGUAACGGCUCACUAAGGCGACGAUCCCUAGCUGGUCUGAGAGGAUGACCAGCCACACUGGAACUGAUACACGGUCCAGACUCCUACGCGAGGAAGCGGUGGGGACUUUUGCACAAUGGGCGCAAGCCUGAUGCAGCCAUGCCGCGUGUAUGAAGAAGGCCUGCGGGUUGUAAAGUACUUUCAGCGGGGAGGCGUUACCCGCAGAAGAAGUACCGGCUAACUCCGUGCCAGCAGCCGGGGUAAUUC
rnacentral:rRNA from 1 species